rnacentral:rRNA from 1 species
GUGUCAGCCGCCGCGGUAAUACGAAGGGACCUAGCGUAGUUCGGAAUUACUGGGCUUAAAGAGUUCGUAGGUGGUUAAAAUAGUUGGUGGUGAAAUCCCAGAGCUUAACUCUGGAACUGCCAUCAAAACUUUUUAGCUAGAGUAUGAUAGAGGAAAGCAGAAUUUCUAGUGUAGAGGUGAAAUUCGUAGAUAUUAGAAAGAAUACCGAUUGCGAAGGCAGCUUUCUGGAUCAUUACUGACACUGAGGAACGAAAGCAUGGGUAGCGAAGAGGAUUAGAUACCCUCGUAGUCCAUGCCGUAAACGAUGUGUGUUAGACGUUGGAAAUUUAUUUUUCAGUGUCGCAGCGAAAGCGAUAAACACACCGCCUGGGGAGUACGACCGCAAGGUUAAAACUCAAAUGAAUUGACGGGGACCCGCACAAGUAGUGGAGCAUGUGGUUUAAUUCGAAGAUACGCGCAGAACCUUACCAACACUUGACAUGUUCGUCGCGACUCUAAGAGAUUAGAGUUUUCGGUUCGGCCGGACGAAACACAGGUGCUGCAUGGCUGUCGUCAGCUCGUGUCGUGAGAUGUUGGGUUAAGUCCCGCAACGAGCGCAACCCUCACUUUUAGUUGCCAUCAUUAAGUUGGGCACUCUGAAAGAACUGCCAGUGAUAAGCUGGAGGAAGGUGGGGAUGACGUCAAGUCCUCAUGGCCCUUACGUGUUGGGCUACACACGUGCUACAAUGGCAUUUACAAUAGGAAGCAAAAUGGCGACAUCAAGCNAAUCCUAAAAAAAUGCCUCAGUUCGGAUUGUACUCUGCAACUCGAGUACAUGAAGCUGGAAUUACUAGUAAUCGCGGAUCAGCGCGCCGCGGUGAAUACGUUCCCGGGUCUUGCACACACCGCCCGUC